rnacentral:misc_RNA from 1 species
GUUCCGUAGGUGAACCUGCGGAAGGAUCAUUAUUGUAUAACCGAGGUGCGAGGGCUGUCCCUGACACGACAGGUCGUGCACGCCCGAGUGCCCUCACACACAUCCAUCUCACCCCUAUGUGCACCACCGCGUGGGUCCCCCUUUGGCUUGUUCGGAGGGGGGCUUACGUUUUCACACAAACUUUGUAUGAAGUGUAGAAUGUAUUUUUUGUUUUUGCGAUCACGCAAUCAAUACAACUUUCAACAACGGAUCUCUUGGCUCUC